rnacentral:rRNA from 1 species
UAUGUGAUCGUCUCUCGCAUAUCAAUAAGCGGAGGAAAAGAAACUAACAAGGAUUCCCCUAGUAACGGCGAGUGAAGCGGGAAGAGCUCAAAUUUGAAAUCUUAAAGGGUUUCCCUUUACGAAUUGUAGUUUAAAGAAGUGUUUUCUGUUGAGGUUUUGGUAAAAGUUCUUUGGAAUAGGACAUCAUAGAGGGUGAGAAUCCCGUAUUUGACCUUUACUUUCAACUUUGUGAUACACUUUCAAAGAGUCGGAUUGUUUGGGAAUGCAGUCCAAAAUGGGUGGUAAAUUUCAUCUAAAGCUAAAUAUUGGCGAGAGACCGAUAGCGAACAAGUACCGUGAGGGAAAGACGAAAAGAACUUUGAAAAGAGAGUUAAACAGUACGUGAAAUUGUCAAAAGGGAAGCGUUUGACACCAGUGUUGUUUUUCUGAAAAUCAAUUAAAGAACUGUUUAUGCUAAGUUGUUUAGACUUUAUCAGCUAACUGUUUAGUUUUGAGCUUUUCUUUAAUGCACUUUUCAGUUAACAAGUCAACAUCAAUUUCUUUUGCUGUAAAAAAGCUUGAGGAAGGUGGCUUGAGAUUCGUCUUAAGUGUUUAUAGCCUCUUGCCUAUGCAGUCGGAGAGAUUGAGGUCUGCAGCGUAGAUCCUUCGGGGCUAAAUGCAUUUGUGCUAAGUUAUAGCAUUUUAUAGACAACUUGUUGACUAUGAUUUGUCUUGUAGCUUACUCGCUUAUGUUAUUUUACCUACGCUUAGGAUGUUGAUCUACAGAGCGAGAGU